UGGGGAAUCUUGGACAAUGGGGGCAACCCUGAUCCAGCCAUGCCGCGUGAGUGAUGAAGGCCUUAGGGUCGUAAAGCUCUUUCAACGGUGAAGAUGAUGACGGUAGCCGUAGAAGAAGCCCCGGCUAACUUCGUGCCAGCAGCCGCGGUAAUACGAAGGGGGCAAGCGUUGUUCGGAAUUACUGGGCGUAAAGGGCGUGUAGGCGGUCUAAUCAGUCAGUGGUGAAAGCCCUGGGCUCAACCCAGGAAUUGCCUUUGAUACUGUUAGACUAGAGUUCGGGAGAGGAUAGUGGAAUUCCCAGUGUAGAGGUGAAAUUCGUAGAUAUUGGGAAGACACCAGUGGCGAAGGCGGCUAUCUGGACCGAUACUGACGCUGAGGCGCGAAAGCGUGGGGAGCAAACAGGAUUA
rnacentral:rRNA from 1 species